rnacentral:rRNA from 1 species
GACGAACGCUGGCGGCGUGCUUAACACAUGCAAGUCGAACGGGCCCGCUCUCUUUUUUGGGGGUGGGUUGAGUGGCGAACGGGUGAGUAUCACGUGAGUAACCUGCCCCCUGCUCCUGGAUAACUGCUUGAAAGGGCGGCUAAUACGGGGUGUGCCGGCUGGUCCGCAUGGGCCUGGUCGGGAUAGUUUCAUCUUCGGGUGUUUCGGUGGGGGAUGGGCUCGCGGCCUAUCAGCUUGUUGGUGGGGUGAUGGCCCACCAAGGCGGUGACGGGUAGCCGGCCUGAGAGGGUGGGCGGCCACACUGGGACUGAGACACGGCCCAGACUCGGGCGGGAGGCAGCAGGGGGGGGUAUUGCACAAUGGGCGGAAGCCUGAUGCAGCGACGUCGCGUGAGGGAUGGAGGCCUUCGGGUUGUGAACCUCUUUCUCCGGUGGUGAAGGCCCUGUCCGUUGCGGCGGGGUUGACGGUAGCCGGGUAUGAAGCGCCGGCUAACUACGUG